rnacentral:rRNA from 1 species
UACGGAGGAUGCAAGCGUUGUCCGGAUUUAUUGGGUUUAAAGGGUGCGUAGGCGGUUUGAUAAGUCGGCGGUAAAAUUCGGUAGCUCAACUAUCGGCCUGCCAUCGAUACUGUCAAGCUUGAGUGUUUGUGAGGUGGGCGGAAUUGGUAGUGUAGCGGUGAAAUGCUUAGAUAUUACCAGGAACAUCGAUUGCGAAGGCAGCUCACUGACAAACUACUGACGCUGAGGCACGAAAGCGUGGGGAUCAAACAGGAUUAGAUACCCCCGUAGUCC